UGACCGUUAGCUUAGUCAGGUCUAAAGCGUGGGCCUUUUAACCCCUGAUCCCCGGUUCGAAUCCGGGACGGUCAUCCA
rnacentral:tRNA from 1 species